ensembl:snRNA U1 U1 spliceosomal RNA
CUACUUACCUGGUAGGGGAGAUACCAUGGUCGUGAAGGUGGUCUUCCCAGGGCGAGGCUUAUCCAUUGCACUCUGGAUGUGCUUACUCUUGCGAUUUCCCCAAAUGUGAGAAACUCGACUGCACAAUUUAUGGUGGUGGGGGACUGUGUUCUCAUUUUAUUUAA